AUCUGCCGGGGGAGGACGUUUGCCGGUUACACGGGGGUCAGCAAGUGGUGGGUGUGUUGUAGAGUCACUCGAAGAGGGUAAAUCCGCAGGAGUCAUGGGUGGAUUCGCGUGGGUGACCCUGGCCACAAAUGAUUCCUAUUCCUUGGGAGCUCUGGUCCUGGCACACUCGUUACGUCGAGUCGGGGCUAAACACGAUUUAGCGGUCUUAGUUACACCGGGUGUAACGGAUGUCAUGAGGGAAAAAUUGGCGGCAGUGUUCUCAUUGGUACAAGAGGUGAACGUGCUCGACUCGAAGGACGAAACGAACCUGGCUCUUCUGGCAAGACCCGAGUUGGGCAUCACGUUCACAAAACUGCACUGUUGGAGACUCACACAGUACGAGAAAUGCGUGUUCCUCGAUGCCGACACGUUGGUGAUCCGAAAUUGCGACGAGUUGUUCGAGCGAGAAGAAUUGUCGGCGGCACCCGACGUUGGCUGGCCCGAUUGCUUCAAUUCCGGCGUUUUCGUCUUCAAGCCCUCUCAACAGACUUUUGCAUCCAUCACCGCGUUCGCCGCCGCGAAGGGUUCCUUCGACGGCGGCGACCAGGGAUUGCUGAAUUCCUAUUUCAGCGACUGGGCCCACAAAGACAUCUCCAAGCAUCUGCCCUUCAUCUACAACAUGUGCUCCACCGCGACGUACUCCUAUCUUCCUGCAUUCAAGCAAUUCGGCGAGGAUGUCAGGAUCAUUCAUUUCAUCGGCGCCGCAAAACCGUGGCUUCAAUAUUUCGACACCGUGACCGGCAUCGUUCAGCCGCCACCGGAUUGCAACCACUUGCAGCCACUUUUGCAAAACUGGUGGAAUAUAUUCUGUGAGCACGUACACCCUCAGUUGUCCCCCGUUAUGGCCAGGAGCACUUUGGCAUCACUUUGGCACGAAAUCAUUCCCCCGCCGUUGCACAUCCCUCCCCAAUUGCCUCCCUCCUCCGAUAACGACAAGUUAACGGCCGACAGUGUUAGGAAGCCAGAUUUCUCCGAGUUUAAGGACCCUUGGGAAACGUACGUUCCGCACCGCGAUCAUUUCCCGAGCGACGAUAAGCAGGAAGGUGAUAAUCAUCGAUAUUACUGUCCGGUCUGCCACGAGUGUCAAUAUCAAUCGCCUCAAGACGAAAGCCGCUGUCAGAACUCAUCGAGCCCGACAUACGAGACCGUUCAACCCGUUCCGCGAUACUACAUUGCGCAACAAAACCAUAGUCAGUCCGUUUCCGAAUAUUAUCCACCCGCUCCAAGUGAAGAGGUCCCAUACAGCGAUCAAAGCCAUCCCCAGGAACACCAUCCUCCACCGCGACCGGAAAUUCAUUACGACUCUUCCCACGAUCAUUGUCACGUGCUACAUCAACCUCCACCUGUUCAUCAAGCUCGACAUCACGAUAAUCGUCAGCAGCGUCAAGAGGAACGGCCCGAAAGUCCCCGCGCGCACGAUCGGGACGAAAAUCGCGAACGUCAUCAAGAUUUUCAUCAUCGGCAUCACAUACGCGAACAUCAACAUUCUCAGACUCAGGUACACGAACACGAUCGUUCCUAUCAUCCUCGUCAUCAUCCUCCCCAGCAGGAGCAACAUCAUCAUCCUCAUCAGCAUAGGUAUCACCAUCAAGAACGUACCCACGAUUUCUCUCAUGAUAAGACUUCGCACCAUCACCGUCAGCAUCAUGAAAGUCGUCAUCGUGAACACGCGCACCCUGAAGAGCAUCAUCCGCGUCAUCGCGAUCAUUUUCCUGACGAGCAAAGGAAGGAGCACGUUGAGCAUCGUCACGUGGAAAACCGUAUUCCAGAACAUGUACAUAAUCAUCGGGAUAGCGAUUAUAGCAAUGUGGGAGAUAGAGUUACCUGCCCAGUGACGAACUGGCAGAGCGAUCACGAGACGGUCCGUGACGAUAUGACCGACGGACGGACCGACGAUCACGUACAAAGUGUUCCCCCUCCCUGUGAAUCCUGCACUGUACCCGCAAUUGUAGCAACACAGUCCAAUCAGAAAUUAACGGGGCGACUAGAAAAUAAAGAUACUGGGCUUGCGGGCGCCCUGGCAAAACUGACUUUGGGCGAGGCCAGGAGUCCGGAGCAAAUCGCCUUCGAGGAGCACAUGAGAAAGCAGAGCUGGGAACAGGGCCAAAUCGAUUACAUGGGCCGCGACAGUUUCGAGAAUAUCUGGAAGAAGAUCUUGGAGACCCUUUCCCGGCCCCCCCAGAAGCAGAAGAGCCCACCCAAGGAAGUGGAUGAAGCAACGGCCUCGAAGGAAACUACAAAGACCGAAACGAGCGAAACCGCUUCUACCGAACCUGAGGAGCAAACGGCUGAUCUCUUGUCAGGAGCAGAGGAGAGCAACUAACAGACCAUGGCGCCAUAGCAUUGCUGCGUCUUGUAUUGUCGUUUUGCUUUACUGGGUUAUAGCUACGGAAACACUGUCGGAAAAACCUGUCUCAACGUCUGUAGCAGAAACGGCGCCAAAAGUUCCCGGACCACCUCUCGACCCCGUCCCUCCCGCACAAUCCUCCACAGGAACGCCCAAGACCCCCGAAGUA
rnacentral:misc_RNA from 1 species